UAUGUACUCACUCCGUUUCAAAAUACUUGACUUCCAUUUGUCCAAAAAUGGAUGUACCUAUAUACUAAAACAUGUCUAGAUACAUAUAUAUUUUGACAAAUAGAAGGCAUGUAUUGUGCAACGGAGGGAGUAGAAU
rfam:Triticum aestivum genome assembly, contig: Triticum_aestivum_CS42_TGACv1_scaffold_148870_2BS